GCGACCCCAGGUUGGGC
rnacentral:rRNA from 1 species